rnacentral:rRNA from 1 species
AACGUAGGAGGCGAGCGUUAUCCGGAUUUACUGGGCGUAAAGGGCAAGUAGGCGGUGGCCAAAGUUGGGCGUGACAUCUCCCGGCUCAACUGGGAGGGGUCGUUCAAAACUAGGUCACUAGAGGGCAGGAGAGGGAAGCGGAAUUCCUAGUGUAGCGGUGGAAUGCUCAGAUAUUAGGAAGAACACCAGUGGCGAAGGCGGCUUCCUGGCCUGUACCUGACGCUGAGAGGCGAAAGCUAGGGUAGCAAACGGGCUUAGAUACCCCCGUAGUCCCUGAGCGGGCUGG